UCUUAGAAAUCUAGAACCCUCUAAGACUGAAUCUGUAAGGAGACAAAAACCUGAAAGCCCAAUAAGAAGAAAGAAAAUUGAAGCAAUCAAAUUCUCCCCAAAAAACAAAAGCCCAGACCAGAUAGUAGUAAGUUCUUCUAAAUCUUCAAAGACAGAGUUUCAAGAUUUUUAAACUGCUCAUCUAGAUGAAGAAGUGAAAUACGAUGGAGGAAGUGGUUCAGUGUUAACUGCAACUUGGAUAAGGUUGUUAAGCCCCAUUGCUUCUGACUUGUAGUACUUAAAACUUCUAUAUGAGGAGGGGGUUUCUGCUGCCGAGUGAGGGAUUUUUAAUUACUUCAGACUGAGGGCACCUGGCCGCCACAGCUUCCACAGUCAGUGAGUGUUUCUAAAGAGCUGACUCCUGCGCUGGACUCAGGAACUGGAACAAAAGAUUAAUUAUGCACACCUGGUGCUGCCCAUUUGCUCACAGACUCCAACAAGUUUCACUGGAUGUGUUAAUGUGGGUGCCCUCCCCACUUUCUCUCAGCUCCUUGAGCAUCCUUAUUCUCGUUUCAUAGAAUAAACUUAAGUUUUAA